CUGAAGAUCGCAUUGAACAGCCUAGUGAGCCACUCCCCUCCAGCUUUACCCAUGCACUUCCAGAACUCCACCGGGAUCGCUCGACCCCUACUCAUCCUACGCAAUGCCCCUAAGACGUCCUCCAACCUAAUGCGCCUGCAGUACCCAAGGUCUCUAUGUAGCUCUGAAUGCCCCAACUCUCCUAGCUCUAUGUUACGAUCCC
rnacentral:lncRNA from 1 species